AAUCAGGUAAAAGGACAUUCUGUUCGUACUGGUAGUGAUACGAAAAUCGGUAGUGGUAUGGGUGAUGUUAUUGUUAUGAGUAAUAGUAGUGGUACAAGUAAUGGUAGUAGUAUGCAUAGCGGUAGUAGUAUGAGUAUGAGUAGCAGUAGUGAUAAUGAAACUGGUUCAUGUUCUAGUUUGACUGAGUCCGAGAACACGUGUUCUGGUUUAAUUACACUUUCAAAAAAGAAAAACGAAGAGUCAUAUGAACAAUCAAAGAGGUUCAAUACUAUGCAACAAGUCAAUAAUAUAAAAAUGACCAACAUAAAUGUAAAAGAGCAAGGAUCAAGUAAUAUACCAUUACAUGUUGUUGAGGAUUUUGAGUGUGGUACAGCAGUCGAUAUAAAAUGUGACGUUUUUAUGAAAACUUUAAAGGAAGAAGAUGUAAUAAAAAAAGACAAUAAUAAGAGCUUAACUAAUUACUCUGAAAAAAAUGAAUGUUUGUUAAAUAACAAAAAUGUUGGUCAAACAGAACAAGGGAAUGAAAAACAUGUGCAGGGUGAUCAAAUAGAAGAAGCAGAUAAAAAGCACGUGCAGGGUGAAGACGUUAAUACUAAUAACAUUUUUAAUUUGAAUAAAAAAAAAAAGAAUAAUGAAACCAUAGAGGUUUACCCAAAAGUGGUUAUUACGCAUUCAAUAAAGAAAACAACUGAAAAUGUAGUGAAUAUAAAUGAUAAUAAUGAUGAUGUGCAAAAUAAUUUAAAUUUAAAACAAGAUACUGUACAUAAUAGAAGUUCCAAAUGGGGUUCAUUGUAUGGAGAGUUCGAUCCUAUUAGUAGUGUUUUUGAUAACAGUAGUAGUUGUCGUGGUGGAAAUAGUAGUGGUUGUAGCAGUAAUGAUAUCAUGUAUUUUGAGACACAAAAUCAAAUAGCUCCUAAAAGAAUUGAACCAACGACAGAAACAAACAGAUUAGUAAGUACAGAUGUUGAUAGUAAAAUAAAAAAAAAUAAAACAAAUAAUAUUGGUAGUGACGGUGGUAACGACAGUGGUAACGACAGUGGUAACGACAGUGGUAGCGACAAUGGUAACGACAAUGGUAACGACAAUGGUAGCAGUAAUAAUAACGUUUACAGUGAUAAAAAGCAAAAUAACAUCUAUAAUAAAAUUGAUAUAACAUUUACCUCGGCAAAAAAAAAAGAAAAUGACAAAGAAGAGCAUGAGUAUCAUACAAUAAAAAAUACGAAAACAAGUGAAGUUUCAAAUGACGAAAUUAAGAAUUUAACAAAGUAUAAUGACUCAGAUUAUAUACCUAUUAGUGUGUUUAAAACAGGUAAUAUAAAUGGGUUAUCACCACAUAUUAAAAAUGAUAGUAGCAAAAUUUAUUUAAAGUUAGAUGAUACGGCACCUAUAAUGCACAAAAUUUGUGAAAACAAACUCUGGGAAAAAACUAAAAGUGAGGAAUUUACACUUGUAAACAAGAAAGAACAAAGCAAAAAGAUAUCAACUGGUCAAAAGCUACCACUCAAAAUGGGAAAAAGUGAUGAUUUAAAUAAUCCUCUAGGUUUAAUAUGCACUAAUAGUAUUUUUAAAAAAGAAAAUGACAACUCUGUUGAAUGUAUUAACAUGAAACCAUUAAAAGUAAAAGAAGCAACACAAAUAAAUAAAAAACGUGUUGAUGGAAAUAGAAAUAUAAAUUUGUCUAAAAAAGUAAUAACAAAAUUUGGAAAAAAUAAUAAUGGAUUAGACAAAAAUGAGAAAAAGGGUGAAGUUGCAUUUAUUCCAAACGGAAUUAAAAACAGAGUAGCAAGGUUAAUAGAAAAAACAGCUAAUAUGAAAAAAAAUCGAAACAAGUUGUUUUCUGAAAAAAAAAACACAUUUCGUAGUAAAGGGCAUAUGUUAAAUGAAAAAAAAAAUGUUUUUGGAGUGAAUUCAAAAGAAGUCAAGAAAAGCAUAUAUGACAAAAAUGACACUCAUACACUUUCCGUGACAGAAAAAAAACAGGAUUGUUAUAAACUUAUUGGUGUAGAUCAUACAAGUUGUUACAACGAGUACAUUGAAAAAAUAAAUAAAUUAUAUCAAAAUUUAAAAAAUAAAAAGUUUUUAUAUGAUUGCGAAAGUAAAAAAAGUAGUAUAUCCAAUGAAAGUAAUGAUACUCAUACUGUGUGUAAAACUACAGAUUCAGAGAAGAGCAAAAGUACAAGUGAGGAUGAAAGGGAAAAUAAGUUUGAAAGUGGUAAGGAUAGUAGUUGCAACAUUGGUAGUAUUGGUAGGAGCAGUAUUUGUAGUAGCAGUAGUGGUAGGAGCAGUAGUGGUAGUAGCAGUAGUGGUAGAGACAGUGGAAGUGAUGAUUGUGCGAAAACAGUAACAACUAUAGAUAGUAUAAAUAAAAAAAAUAAUUUUAAUUUAAAAAAUCAAUUAAGCAUCUUGGGAAAUAAUAUGGGCUAUAUAACCGAAUCAAAUAAUAUAAUGAGUUCGUCUAACGAAAGCUAUGAAAGUAUAUCUUAUACUAAUAAAGAUGUUCGAUAUAAUAAUAAUGCAUCAAAAAUAAAAAAAGAUUUAUUUUUAAAUGAAUAUGAUACAAAAAUUUUGGAUAAGCAGUUGGUAAAUAUUGAAAUGUAUGGAACUGAAGAAUAUCAGCAAAUUAUGAGUAAAGAAAAAAUGCGAGAAAAUAGAGGCGAAGAAAGUACAACUGAGAAAAAUAGAGCCGAGAAAAAUGUGGCUGAGAAAAAUGUGGCUGAAAAAAUUAAAGCUGAAAAAAUUAAAGCUGAAAAAAUUAAAGCUGAAAAAAUUAAAGCUGAAAAAAAUAAAGCUGAAAAAAAUACAGCUGAGCAUAGUAAAGCGGCAUAUAACAAGAUGGAGGUUAAAGAGUCACCAAAGGAAGAGACUACAUUUUUAGAAUUAAAAAAAAAAGUUGCGAAUGAACAUAUAUUAAAUAUGAAUUUAAGAGUAACACCUGAUUUUUAUGCCGACUCGAUGAAAAGCUAUUGUAACUCUAAUAUAAGUGAACAAAACGAAGAUAAUACUAAGUGUAGCGAAGAAAAUGAUAGUACUAAUAUAGUUACCAUUGGGAUUAAUAGAAAUAAUAAUAUCAAUAGUGACAUCGAUGGUAAUGACAGUAGUAGCAGUAAAAGAUGGUACAGCGUACAGAAUAUUCAGCUCGAUCCAACUACUUCGAAUAAUUCAAGUGAUGUUUCUUUUCAUGUAAUGUGUCAAGAAAGUAGUGAAAAUAAAUAUGUCGAAAAUGUUUCAUUAUCAAAAAAAAAAGAAAAAUGUACAACUUAUUUAAAAGAUAGCAUUACGAGUGAAAACAAAUCUAGUUCAAGUAGAAAAAAAAAUUUAGACAAAGUUCCGAGUUUACAUAAACUAGACGAUGCGCAUACUAAUGAUGGGUUUAAAAAAAUAAACGAAAUUAUAAAAAGUGAAAAACGUACUAACAGUUUAAAUGUUUUAAAUUUUAAUAAUAAAUUAACAUUUAUGGCUUUGUCAAAUUCUAGCAGUGUUGGUAAAAACAGAGUAAAUGCGAGUAAAUCUGUUAGUAUGAGUGCGAAUAACAAUAGUACGAGUAUGAACGGUGUCCGUAAUCGUAGAAUACUAUCGUCACAUUCAAUGUAUAAAAAAGCUUAUUCGGAAGGAAAAGCUAAACCGACACAACUAACACACCUGAAAGUUAACUCAAAUGAUAAUGAAUAUAAUACAAAUGACAAGGUAAAUAAAAACAUAACAGACACCAAAGGACUAAAUGAUAAUAGUAAAAGUAUUAAAAAAAAAUUGAGUCUAGCUGAUAAUGUCAGAAACAUGUAUAAUUCAAAAAAGGGAGAAGAAAAAAAAAACGCACUAUCGAAUUUUUAUACAAAUAAUAAAAACAGUAAAGACGAAUUAAUUAAUAAAUAUAAAAAGGAAAUAUUAAAAAAUUCCAAGACUGUAAUGAGUUAUGGUAAUAACAGCAGCAGUGACAACAACAGACAUAAUUUAGUAAACCAAAGAAAAGUACCAUUAAAAACUUACCUUAAAGAAAAUAAUAUAAUAAUGAAAAGUAAAACAAACAAUAUUUUAGCAUCAAUGAAAAAGAAAUUAGAAAAUAAUAAGCAAGAUAAAGCGCAACUAAGUGGAGUCGAAUUGAAGGUUCCAGAAAGUAGUGUUCAGCACAAUAAAACAAAAGAUUUAUCAAAAGAAACAGAUAAAAACAACAAUAGUAUUUUUAAUAAAAAUAUGACAAAUAAUUUACAAAACAAGCAUAGCUUACACUUAUUAAAAAAAACGGAAAACGGAAAAAUGGAAAGAGGCAAAACAGAAAGCGGCAAAAAAUUAAAAAGUGUUAGUCCAAAUAAAGGGGUAAAAAGUACGAUGUUUUUAAAAAAGGAAGGAGUGAGAGGAAAUAUAGUGGGGAAAGCAGACAAAACGGACAAAGAGAAAGAAGAAAAAAAAAGUGUUAGCACAGAAAAGAAAAAAGAACUAUUUAAUAAUAGAACAGGAAUGGUAAAAAACGUGUUAUUGGAAAAUAGUAAAUCUGUUUUGGGAAAAGAAAAUACGAAUGUGAAAAGUGUAAGUCCAAACAAUUUUUUACCAAAUAAAAAAGGAAUAAAUGAUAAUAGUAACAUAAGCAUACGAAAAAAAAGUUUAAAAGAAGACGAUUGCAAUAAUAGUGGUUUACUUAAAAAUAAUGCUUUAGGUAAAAUUAGAACGAAUAGCAAAUUAGACGUUACUAGCAAAUUAGACGUUACUAGUAAAUCAAACGUUACUAGCAAAUUAGACGUUACUAGUAAAUCAAACGUUACUAGCAAAUCAAACGUUACUAGCAAAUCAAACGUUACUAGCAAAUCAAACGUUACUAGCAAAAUGGGUAAAGAAGAUCCUUUAUACGAUAACAAAAACAUAACAUGUCCUCUCGAUAUAAAUACAUUAAACAUGACGGAACAACUAAAUUAUAACUUUUUAGAUGAUACCGACAUAGAUUAUGGCAAUAAUAAUAGUGAUAGUAAAAAAAAUAUAAUAUUCACAAGCAGUUUAAAGAAUUCAAAAAUAAAAGAAUACUUAAAAAAUAAAAUAGAAAAUAUAAAAAAAAAAUGUAACCAUAAUAUAUUAUAUGAUAAAGUUACGGAAAAUAACGAUGAGCAAAAUUUUAGAAGAUAUGUAUCUACAAGUUUUGGUUCAAACAAAAGUUUUAAUAGCUAUAGUAAAAAAGAACAUGUUUACAAUAAUAGUGGUUAUAAUAAUAAUAUUAUUAUAAAUAAUACUUCGAACGAUACCACAGGAGUAGUAAGAGGAAUCACACUAAAUAAUAGUAUUCGUAAUUUUAAUAAUAAAUUGAAUAAUAGUCUAAAAAUAAAUACAUCUGCUAAUAAUGAUACUUUUGAAUGUAAUAACAUGCAUAUGUCAUUUAUGAGUAAUGAUUCUAAUAAAAAAAUAAAUAUUGAUUUAUUAAAUAAAAAUAAGACUAAGAUUGAUCUAAUUACAAAAGCACAAGUAAAUGAAAAUAAUAAUAUGGUUCACAAUGAUGGGGAACGUAAAGAAAAAUAUGGGACUGGUAGAGGAUAUUACACAGAUAUGAGUAAGGGUCACACUAAUGCAGGUCUUAUUGGUGCAAAUCCUACUAGUGCUAGCCAUGAUAAGACUAAUUGUGAAACGAACUCAAAACGAAAUAAAACAUACAUAGGUGUUCAUUCCCACAAAAGAAUAAACUACUCUAAUGUUAAAAGUAAGAUAGACACACGCAUGGUUAGAAAACCAAAAGAGACAGUAACUGAAAAUAAUUUAAGCAAUGAAAAAAAUGCUAUAACUAAUAAAACGGGCAGUUAUAAUAGCAAAGAAGAAAAUAUAAAAACAGCUUUUAAUACAACCAGUGUUUUGGAUAAUAAGAAUAACAUAUAUUUUAAUAAUAAUAAUAAUAAUAAUAAUAAUUGUGGUAGUACAAAAAAUAAAACGAGUAGUAAAAAUGAUAACGAAGGCGAUACUUUUAGAAGAUACAGUGUGGGUAACAUCGUGAGUAAGAACGAUUGCGACGCAAACUCUGAAAAUAAAAAUAUGGCUAAUAGAUCAAAGAAAAUUACUGUUAAAUUUGAUAAUGAUAAAAAUUAUAAUUUAAAGUAUAACAUUAAUUUUACAAAAGAGGAUAACAACGUUCCUAUGAAUCUAAAAAAACAAUCAAAAAACAUAAAUACCAAUCCAUAUAUUAAAAUAAACAAUAAUGAAAAUCUUCCAAAUAAAUCCUUACAUGUGAAUAAGUAUAUUGUUUACCAUCCGAAUAAUAAAAACGAAAAGCUCCAAAAUAAUAUUCAUUCUGAAUGUAGUAGUAUGCAGAACCAGAACACGCAGUUAAAUACGUCAAACAUGAAUAUAACAAAUAAAAAUGCAAAUGAAACAAGUUUAGGUGUACAAAAUGCAGGUUAUAACGAAUAUAGUAAGUGUUAUAGAUAUGGUAGUAGUAAAAGUAUUGACACCUCACAUUCAAGUACUCCGUAUAUUAAUAACCGGAAUGUUAGUAGCCCAAACUUGAACAAUAACAAUUCUUACCAUAAUAUUAAUAAAUUUAAUUUGAUUAAGACAACAUAUAACACAAAAGAAAACGCGCAUAAUGUUGUUUCGUUUGAGAAACAUAAUUAUGUACACGAAGGUAAUAAAAGUAUGGAGCAAAUCGACAACAAAAUCGGCAAUGACAAUGGUAACAUUAUUGACGGUACAAGAAGAAUACAAUAUGAAAAUACAAAAUAUAACAAAAGCAACAUUUAUGAUAAUAGUAGGAGUUAUAUAAAUGACAGAAGUGAUGAUAUAUUUAAUGAUAAUCAAACAUCUAUGAUCAAAAACCAUAUUAUAAAUAAUGUUAAUUUUGAUAAUUUAAAAUUAGCUGCAUCUUAUUUAGAUACAGAAAAUAUAUAUAAUGUAGCUAAUGGUUUUCGUAAUAAUAGUAUUCAUAAUGAUCAUAUAACCAGUGAUGGAAAACAAAAAAAAGCAAUGGUAGAAGUAGGUGUAGGAAAAAAUAACAAUAUCCCUAAUGAUCAGUCUAUUAAACGAAAUAACACAUAUAAAGAAUUAAUAAAUGGUGAUCAUAUAAAUACAAAUAACAUAAUACAGAAUUUUUCAAAUAUUCAAAAAUAUAACACAUUAUGUGCGUAUGCAAAUGGUAACCCCAUGGUAACAGACACGGUUAGCCCAAACAAAAAUAAAAUGAACAUAGGUAUGCAUACUAAUUUUAAUAACGGAAAUAAUUAUCACCAUUAUGAUUAUUAUAAUAGUAAUACUACAAAACAUAGCACCCAUGAAAAAAAUCGGUUACAUGAUAAUAACUCUUUGAAAAGAAACUAUAAUAACCCUUUAUGGUUGAGUAAAAUUAUUUUACCUUGUACAUCUAAUGAUUUUGUACACCAAGAUGAAAAAAUCAACAACAACAGUAACCUUAUUGUUAAUCAAAAAAAUAGAGAUUUUAAUAUAAAUACGAUAUUAGAUGUAAAUACAAUAAAUAAACUUAAAGAAGAAAAAGCUUAUAAUAAAAUUUUAAAAACAAACGAAUAUAGCAGUAAUAUUAGAAAUAAUAAUAAUGGUAAUAGUAUUAUUAGCAACAAUGGUAAUAAUAAUAAUGGUAAUAGUAUUAUUAGCAAUAAUAAUAGUAAUAACAAUGGCAAUAGAAAUAAUAUACGAUUUUUAAAACAAAACAUGUUACCAAAACAGAGCAGUAUAAAAAAUCAUUCUUUUGUUAUGGAUUCAAUUAAAUAUCCCGCACAAUCUUAUAACAACAUGUAUAAUAUAACAACAAAAAAUAAUAAUAUUACAAUGAACAAUUUUAAUGAAAAAAACAAAAAUACAAAAUAUAAUUUUUAUGAGCAUGUACAAAGAGAAAAUGUUUUAAGGGCACACACUGGAAAUCAUCCAAAGUAAAUGUUUUUUUUUUAAUAAAUUUAUAGGUUAAAAAUAAAAAAAAUAAAAA
ensembl:lncRNA